rnacentral:tmRNA from 1 species
GGGGAUGUAAAGGUUUCGACGGGGAUCGUGAGCCUUUGUAAGCGAGCAGCGGUGCGGGGCCGCUAUAAAAUCCGCAACUUAAAAAUAAACGACAACAAUACAGUUGCCUUAGCAGCCUAAGCUGCUCGUUCUGUCUGAGAGAAUCGCGACUCAGAUAAGGGCGUCGAUUAGCGAUGAACGUAACAGGGAGGCAGUCUUGGGCCCUGUUAUGAACAAAAGACUACCGACGAGAUAAGCCUGCCUAUGGGCGUAUUUCCGGGGGAAUCAAAAAACACAGGCUGCGCUCGGAGAAAGCAUUGGUAAGUGGUUUUCGGACAGGAGUUCGAUUCUCCUCAUCUCCACCA